rnacentral:miRNA from 1 species
GCAGACACAUUCCAGCCAAUCAGCAGCAGACCCUCCCUCCCAGACCCUCCCACCUCAUGGAGAGCAUCCAUUGUGAAGCUGCAUUCUCAGUGAGCUGUCCAGGAGGUGGGAGGGUCUGGGAGGGAGGGUCUGCUGCUGAUUGGCUGGAAUGUGUCUG